ensembl:lncRNA
GUCUCUGUCACUCUGAUUGGGCUCUAUGUCACAUGCCUAAGGAGAGACAGACAGAGAGACGAUGUUUGAUUAGUAAUGGACUGUAGACUCCUCUACGUACCUCAGGUCAGAGGGAUAGACCAAGGGGGCGGAGGUAAACUGUAGACCCUAAUAAUAACAUGUCGACUGACUGACUGACCCAUUGCCUAACGUGUCUAACUGACUGACCGUCCCAUUGCCUAACGUGUCUGUCUGACUGACUGACUGUCCAUUGCCUAACGUGUCUGACUGACUAACUGACUGACUGUCCCAUUGCCUAACGUGUCUGACGGACUGACUGUCCCAUUGCCUAACGUGUCUGACUGACUAACUGACUGACCAUCCCAUUGCCUAACGUGUCUGACUGACUGAGUGACUGUCCCAUUGCCUAAUGUGUCUGACUGACUGACUGACCGUCCCAUUGCCUAAUGUGUCUGACUGACUGACCGUCCCAUUGCCUAACGUAUCUGACUGACUGACUGACUGUCCCAUUGCCUAACGUGUCUGACUGACUAACUGACUGACUGUCCCAUUGCCUAACGUGUCUGACGGACUGACUGUCCCAUUGCCUAACGUGUCUGACUGACUGACUGUCCCAUUGCCUAACAUGUCUGACUGACUGACUGACUGACCGUCCCAUUGCCUAACGUGUCUGACUGACUGACUGUCCCAUUGCCUAACGUGUCUGACUGACUGACUGUCCCAUUGCCUAACGUGUCUGACUGACUCACUGUCCCAUUGCCUAACAUGUCUGACUGACUGACUGUCCCAUUGCCUAAUGUGUCUGACUGACUAACUGACUGACUGUCCCAUUGCCUAACGUGUCUGACUGACUGACUGUCCCAUUGCCUAACGUGUCUGACUGACUGACUGUCCCAUUGCCUAACAUGUCUGACUGACUGACUGACUGACCGUCCCAUUGCCUAACGUGUCUGACUGACUGACUGACCAUCCCAUUGCCUAACGUGUCUGACUGACUGACUGACUGACCAUCCCAUUGCCUAACGUGUCUAACUGACUGACCGUCCCAUUGCCUAACAUGUCUGACUGACUGACUGACCGUCCUAUUGCCUAACGUGUCUGACUGACUGACUGAACAUCCCAUUGCCUAACGUGUCUAACUGACUGACUGACUGACCGUCCCAUUGCCAAACAUGUCUGACUGACAGACUGACCGUCCCAUUGCCUAACAUGUAUAACUGACUGACCGUCCCAUUGCCUAAUGUGUCUGACUGACUGACUGUCCCAUUGCCUAACGUAUCUGACUGACUGACCGUCCCAUUGCCUAACGUGUCUGACUGACUGACCGUCCCAUUGCCUAACAUGUCUGACUGACUGACUGACCGUCCCAUUGCCUAACAUGUCUGACUGACUGACUGACCGUCCCAUUGCCUAACAUGUCUGACUGACUGACUGACUGACCGUCCCAUUGCCUAACAUGUCUGACUGACUGACUGACCGUGCCAUUGGUUUGAAUGAAGAACAUUCAGUACUCCGUUAUUAACGGACUAGGAUUCGCUGUCGGUCGGUCUUAAGAAUAGCACAUGAACACUUCCAUUGGCCAAUCCAUUUACUGUUGAUAUUCCGCCCCAGAUUUUACAUGGGAACAUUCCAAUGUAACCGCCCCUGAGGAGAGUUCCAACACUCUGGAGUACUGGAGAAAUCCAGAACAAAUAAACAGAGCUAUGUUGGUCUGUAUCCGGUACAUAAACUCAGCUCUCUCUCUCUCGGGUUACGCUCUAACAUAAUUGUUCGCGUGUGUGUGUGUGUGUGUGUGUGUGUGUGUGUGUGUGUGUGUGUGUGUGUGUGUGUGUGUGUGUGUGUGUGUGUGUGUGUGUGUUUGUUGGGGGCGCC